UCAGAUUCUAUACUUUAAGAGAGAUGCUUCCUCCUCUUCUCCUCCUGCUGAACUUACAUCUCCUUCCUCAUCCUCAUCAGCCUCGUCUCAUGGGUCACCUGACCUCAGACAGCUGAAGCCCCAUUCCACCCCGCUCUCCUCCAGUUUGCUGCUGGCGUUUUACACCACUCUCAGAUACAGACUAGCGCAGGCCAGGACGCCAGAGCAGCCCAGUGAUGAGGAUGAUAAGGUCCUGGUUCCCUUCACUGUGACGGAUCUGAAGGGCCAAAACUUACAGCUGGUGAUGGAACAGUUAAGUCAGCUGACGCUGGACUCCAAGUAUCUCAUCAAAGAGGUCAUCAGGAAUGAUGCUGACUGGGGCUCCCAGUUCUGCUCAUUCAGUGACUAUGACGUCCUCAUCCUCGAGGUGGUGUGGUUUUGUUUGGGAGGAGCUGCUGUGUUGUGGGUGUUGUUUUUGCUCUGAUUUGUUCACAGAACGCAUUAGUGCUGCCCAUUUGGUCUGUGCAUGUUGGUUUUUUCCAUUCUAUGUUCCAUAGGUCUUUUCAAAGUCUUUGUUAAAGAAUUAAAAGCCAUCAAUCAAUCCAAGCAGUUAUGAGGAGAAUCACAACAUUA